AGCAUUCACACUCUGGCAGGAGCUAGAUUAGCAUUGUUUCAUACCCUUUCAGAUUACCUUUAAACAUCAGCAUGUGCAGCCUUUGUGCCUUGAUGUUUCAUACCAGUUCACGCCUAAUGAUUUUUUACUGCCUCAGGCUUGAAAUCUUCCCAUGCUGAUAAAUAAUUCAUUUAUUUUCAUUUCAUAUUUUGGGUGCUGUAGUUGAUCACAAACCUCUUCGUAACAGAUUUAGUUCUCUCUCCAUGGGCACAAUUUCCAUUGCAGAGAUAAGUGAGAUGAUGUCAGGCUACAGGCAAUUAAAGGACGAUGCACACUCCUCUAGACAGAGGAGCAGUAUCGAAACAGAAGCUAAGACUUUGACUAUGUAAUGAGCUUUCCAAAGCUGGACUUUCCUCAGCCUUGGCUGCAUGAUUUUGCUUUGGACAUUGAUUAUUUUUGGGUGUAAGGAUGUGUUCUAAUGUCAGAUCCUAAACAAGUAAGAGCCUUGUAGGUGAUACAUUUAAGCACACACACCAAAUCAUUUGAACUCCAAGAGUAAGAUGGUCUCUAUAACCUUUGCAUUUAUCUAAGGCCUCUAAAACAACAUGAAAGCCGUACCCAUUGCCUGAUAACACAAAAGAAUCUUUCUGUAAAAAGCAGAUUUAGAAUUGUAGCUGGUUGAUUCAAUUCCAAACAUGUCAUCCAAAGCUUGCAAACAUUUAUGCAUGUCUUAAUGAAAGUGCUGAUAACUCCAUGUUUCAGAGUAUCAAAUAAUUGUGCAACUGAAAUAUAUCCAGGCUACACAAUUAAUCAUAAUAAUAGCACAAAAUAAUCUAAAGCACUUCACAGACUGACAGGAAGGCCAUAAGGAAGAUUGGCAUCCAACCCCAUUCUCAGUUUCAAGAUGAUAACUGUUAAAAGUCAAAGAUCCCAGAUGGCAAAGCAAAAUUACUUACCUACGCUAAGGAAGUAAUUUGAAUAGAUAUAGAUAGGGUAAAACUAGUAAUUUCCUCCAUGACUUUUUAUCAGGUUAUUACAGAGAACAGUAUCAUUCCUGUUUAUCGGUGGCAAAAGUGACAAGAGAAGUGAAAUGAUGUUGCCUAAGUCAACAAAGUCAAGACCUGAAAUCAGCACUUCUGAGUUCACUGCUCUGUCAUCCAAGUAACCUGAAUUCAUUAAUCUAGUCUUGACUUUAAUGCUAUUUUCAGAAUUAAGAGGUAAAUUUGACUCGCUCACUACCGAAGCAAAAAGUAUUCCUUAAUCACAGCAUACAGUACCAUAAGCAUAGAAACUAGUAGCUCAUGAACCUGUUGCUUGGCUGUUGGCAAAGCUAAGUACCUGCAGUCAGAAGCGAGGCAAAAUCAGCAGCGUAAUUUGUUCUUUUUUGUCUGGAUGCAGACACAGUUACCAUCCACUGCUACGUCUCUACUUGAAUCAUGAUGCCACAUAAUCAGUCAGCAAGUCCUACAACUCGAGAUCAGGAGUUCCUUCACCUGCUGAAUGGCAAAGGCCAAAC